CCUACGGGAGGCAGCAGUGAGGAAUAUUGGACAAUGGGCGCAAGCCUGAUCCAGCCAUGCCGCGUGCAGGAUGACGGUCCUAUGGAUUGUAAACUGCUUUUAUACGGGAAGAAACCCUGGCUCGUGAGCCAGAUUGACGGUACCGUAAGAAUAAGGAUCGGCUAACUCCGUGCCAGCAGCCGCGGUAAUACGGAGGAUCCAAGCGUUAUCCGGAAUCAUUGGGUUUAAAGGGUCCGUAGGCGGUUUAAUAAGUCAGUGGUGAAAGCCCAUCGCUCAACGGUGGAACGGCCAUUGAUACUGUUAGACUUGAAUUAUUAGGAAGUAACUAGAAUAUGUAGUGUAGCGGUGAAAUGCUUAGAGAUUACAUGGAAUACCAAUUGCGAAGGCGGGUUACUACUAAUGGAUUGACGCUGAUGGACGAAAGCGUGGGUAGCGAACAGGAUUAGAUACCCUGGUAGUCCACGCCGUAAACGAUGGAUACUAGCUGUUGGGCGCAAGUUCAGUGGCUAAGCGAAAGUGAUAAGUAUCCCACCUGGGGAGUACGUUCGCAAGAAUGAAACUCAAAUGAAUUGACGG
rnacentral:rRNA from 1 species